AUCCGGAGGAGGUGCAGGUCUGCCUGCAAUGGCAGAAUUGCCCAACGGAUGGCGAGUGAGAUAUUCUACUGCUGCCGGACUGGACAGAAAGUUUCUCUCCCAUGAACAGGGAAUAGAACCGGAAGUGCGAAUGUCUCUCAGU
rnacentral:snoRNA from 1 species